UUUAUGGAGAGUUUGAUCCUGGCUCAGGAUGAACGCUGGCGGCGUGCCUAAUACAUGCAAGUCGAGCGAACGGAUGAGAAGCUUGCUUCUCUGAUGUUAGCGGCGGACGGGUGAGUAACACGUGGAUAACCUACCUAUAAGACUGGGAUAACUUCGGGAAACCGGAGCUAAUACCGGAUAAUAUU
rnacentral:rRNA from 1 species